CGGACAAUAUACGAGGUGCUGCAUGGUUGUCGUCAGCUCGUGCCGUGAGGUGUCGGGUUAAGUCCCAUAACGAGCGCAACCCCUACCUUUAGUUGCCAUCAGGUUAAGCUGGGGACUCUAAAGGAACUGCCUACGCAAGUAGUGAGGAAGGCGGGGAUGACGUCAAAUCAGCACGGCCCUUACGUCCAGGGCUACACACGUGCUACAAUGGCCGAUACAGAGGGCAGCUACCUGGUGACAGGAUGCAAAUCUCCAAAGUCGGUCUCAGUUCGGAUCGGAGUCUGCAACCCGACUCCGUGAAGUUGGAUUCGCUAGUAAUCGCGCAUCAGCCAUGGCGCGGUGAAUACGUUCCCGGGCCUU
rnacentral:rRNA from 1 species